rnacentral:rRNA from 1 species
UACGACUACAUAUCAGGCAUAUCAAUAAGCGGAGGAAAAGAAACUAACAAGGAUUCCCUUAGUAACGGCGAGUGAAGCGGGAAGAGCUCAAAUUUGAAAUCUUCAAGGUUCUACCUUGACGAAUUGUAGUUUAUAGAAGUGUUUUCUGUUAGUGGAGUGGCAAAAGUUCUUUGGAAUAGGACAUCAUAGAGGGUGAGAAUCCCGUAUUUGGUCAUUCCUCCUAGCGUUGUGAUACACUUUCAACGAGUCGGAUUGUUUGGGAAUGCAGUCCAAAAUGGGUGGUAAAUUUCAUCUAAAGCUAAAUAUUGGCGAGAGACCGAUAGCGAACAAGUACCGUGAGGGUAAAGAUGAAAAGAACUUUGAAAAGAGAGUUAAACAGUACGUGAAAUUGUCAAAAGGGAAGCGUUUGACACCAGUGUUGUUUUCUCGAAAAUCAAUUAAAAAUGGCCGGAUUUUGUGUUGUAUUGACUUUAUCAGCUUUCUGCACUUUUUUCUUGUCUUUUUUAAUGCACUUUUCGUUUAACAAGUCAACAUCAAUUUCUUUUGUUGUAAAAGAGUCAUUGGAAGGUGGCUUUCAUUUCGGUGAAAGUGUUUAUAGCCUUUGACUCCUGCAAUCGGAGAGACUGAGGUCUGCAGCGUAGAUCCUUCUGGAUUAGAUUCAUUUGUGCUAAGUUAUAGCUUUUUAUAGACAACUUGUUGACUAUGUUUAGUCUUGUAGCUUACUCGCUUAUGUAAUUUUACCUACGCUUAGGAUGUUGAACGCGCACAGAGUCUC